rnacentral:rRNA from 1 species
GGAUCGUAAAGCUCUGUUGUUAGGGAAGAACAAGUGCGAGAGUAACUGCUCGCACCUUGACGGUACCUAACCAGAAAGCCACGGCUAACUACGUGCCAGCAGCCGCGGUAAUACGUAGGUGGCAAGCGUUGUCCGGAAUUAUUGGGCGUAAAGGGCUCGCAGGCGGUUUCUUAAGUCUGAUGUGAAAGCCCCCGGCUCAACCGGGGAGGGUCAUUGGAAACUGGGAAACUUGAGUGCAGAAGAGGAGAGUGGAAUUCCACGUGUAGCGGUGAAAUGCGUAGAGAUGUGGAGGAACACCAGUGGCGAAGGCGACUCUCUGGUCUGUAACUGACGCUGA